AAUGGGAAAUUUGUUCUUAUUUUAUUUGUUUUCCUAUUUUCAAGGUCAUCUAGACAUUAGAGGGCGUUAGUGAUAGAAAAUAUUUUGCUUGUCUGAAUAUAUGCAAAUUAGGGUGUGGUGCCGAGAAUGCUUAAAGGUGUGUACGUGUGGACUUAAAUCAGGGCAGUUGACUAGAAGACGAGGUUGUAGCUGGACGUGUGAGAGGUCUUGAACAUGUACCCUUAUGUGUGUUGUGGAAGUUGCUACCAGAGCCUUGAUUUUGUAUUCGGCGCAAGCAGUCCUUUUCCUCAGGCGACACCGGUACGAGAGGUAUCCUCCAUGUAGCCCAGAACCUCGAUUUUCCUGCCAUUGGCACAAUUUUGUCAACAUAACUCCGUAAGAGCGGACAAGAACGUUCUUCACUACUAACUAGUAGCAAGCAUCGAAUCGUCGAAUUAGCAUCCAAGCAUCGAAUCGUCGAAUUAGCAUCCAAGCAUCGAAUCGUCGAAUUAGCAUCCAAGCAUCGGAUCGUCGAAUUAGCAUCCGAGAACCGCCGAGUCAGUAUAUCCGGGAUCUUGAAGCACGUGACCGAUUGCCGUAACGAGCGAUUACGGGACAUCAACCUUCACAAGUCUCCAAGCAUCGAAUCGUCGUAGGAACUAUGUCGGUAUUUGAUCUUAUGAUAUAGCAAAUACUAAUCAAAAGGCUUUCGCCUUAUUUCGGACAAUUGUCUUCAUUUCGGACACUUUAAAAACUGGGAAGUUAACUUGUAUGAAUUACACUCGUGGGUAUUGGAAUAAUUAAAUGACUGUACGUAUUUGUAAUAUUUCUGUAACAGCAGAUGUCUAUGAAUUUAGAUGUUGGUGUAGUUGUCAAAUAAAAGUCUGUAAAACUCA